rnacentral:rRNA from 1 species
UACGGGGGGGGCAAGCGUUGUUCGGAAUUACUGGGCGUAAAGGGUUCGUAGGUGGCUUGCUAAGUCAGACGUGAAAUCCCUCAGCUUAACUGGGGAACUGCGUCUGAUACUGGCGAGCUUGAGUGCAGGAGAGGAACGCAGAAUUCCAGGUGUAGCGGUGAAAUGCGUAGAUAUCUGGAGGAAUACCGGUGGCGAAGGCGACUACCUGGCGUGUUUCUUGACGCUGAGGCGCGAAAGCUAGGGGAGCAAACGGG